rnacentral:rRNA from 1 species
AUUGAACGCUGGCGGCAGGCCUAACACAUGCAAGUCGAACGAGUGGCGGACGGGUGAGUAAUGUCUGGGAAACUGCCUGAUGGAGGGGGAUAACUACUGGAAACGGUAGCUAAUACCGCAUACCAUCGGAUGUGCCCAGAGGGGUUUAGCUAGUAGGUGGGGUAAAGGCUGACCUAGGCGACGAUCCCUAGCUGGUCUGAGAGGAUGACCAGCCACACUGGAACUGAGAAACGGUCCAGACUCCUACGGGAGGCAGCAGUGGGGAAUAUUGCACAAUGGGCGCAAGCCUGAUGCAGCCAGGGCGCGUGUAUGAAGAAGGCCUUCGGGUUGUAAAGUACUGUCAGCGGGGAGGCGGGAGCAGAAGAAGAAGCACCGGCUAACUCCGUGCCAGCAGCCGCGGUAAUUG